CCUACGGGCGGCAGCAGUGAGGAAUAUUGGUCAAUGGGCGUAAGCCUGAACCAGCCAAGUCGCGUGAGGGAUGAAGGUUCUAUGGAUCGUAAACCUCUUUUAUAAGGGAAUAAAGUGUGGGACGGGUCCUGUUUUGUAUGUACCUUAUGAAUAAGGAUCGGCUAAAUCCGUGCCAGCAGCCGCGGUAAUACGGAGGAUCCGAGCUUUAUCCGGAUUUAUUGGGUUUAAGGGGUGCGUAGGCGGCCUUUUAAGUCAGCGGUGAAAGUCUGUGGCUCAACCAUAGAAUUGCCGUUGAAACUGGGAGGCUUGAGUAUGUUUGAGGCAGGCGGAAUGCGUGGUGUAGCGGUGAAAUGCUUAGAUAUCACGCAGAACCCUGAUUGCGAAGGCAGCCUGCCAAGCCAUGACUGACGCUGAUGCACGAAAGCGUGGGGAUCAAACAGGAUUAGAUACCCGAGUAGUC
rnacentral:rRNA from 1 species